GCGAUUGAGCGCCAUGCUUUGAGGUGGCGGAAACAAGAAUCCUACGUUUGAGCGCAGAAAGAGCGCCCCAAGGAAACAAGGGAUGUUAACGGCUGUACUCGUCCUAGUGGUCGGAGUCGGUUAUUAACAUAUUUGACGUCAUCGUGACGUCACCCUACUUUUCUCUCCUUUUUUUUUCGCUCACCGGUCGCUCUUUUUCUCGCUUCUUUGCUCGCUCGGACGCCCGAAGCGCGUUACAACAGCCAAGGCUACGGCAGCGCCGGCCUAGUACAACCAGCCGGCAAAGCUGAGUCACAGUCCGUUGCAGCACAAGCCUGGCGGUGAUUGAUUUGAAAUAGUAGAAUGACUCACGCAAUGAAGUUCAACAGAUUUCCGAGUGCUUCUGCGCCCUUAGUAUUGCACGGCUCAAGGGUACGUCAUCAGUCGACGUGAACGUGACCCGCUGCUCUGGUGAUCCGAUACCCAUGGGAAGGAGGCCAGACGAGGCCUCGCUGUGCCGACCCAGACUUUGUACACCUGUGACUCGUCUCAAGAGCGCUGUUUCUCAGAGAGCUCAAACCUGCGACGAAAAGUUCAGGUCGCACUCCACGAGGGCCUCUGUUUGGAUGAUGCUAGGCGAAACUUGAGUGCUGCCAUUGUGAGCAUAGCUUAACCGUAGCCAUCCUUUUUUCUUCCAUCCCCUCUGCGGCCCCCGCUCCGUUCUUUCCGUCCGAAUUGCUCCCCGCAACCCGAGUCCUCUACAGCCAACGAGUCUCCGCCGCUCAAACCGACCGUCCCUUCUCCUCAUCCUCAGUUCUACCCAUCGCCCAAAUGUAAACGCCAGCAAGGUCGACUUUGCUCGACAGCCCCGGCAGCCGACUUUGCCGCAGCUGUAACCUUACCCCCCUCCUCACAAACCAGCUUCGCUCUCGCCCUCGCUUCUGCCCGCUGACAUCGCCUCUUCGCCGUCUUCGCCUGAAGUAGCGCACAUGAAGGCACUCUAGCCUGAAUAUUCUCCAAGGCAGCCUGCUUCCGCCCGUCCUACUGACUCAGACAGACCUUCCUUUUCCGUAAUAAACAGUUAAUCUUUAAAGUUAUUCCUUCUUCGUGGGCCCUCACACCAUCCGUGCGUCAGCAGGUCAGUAGAAAGGAUCGUCACAACAGCGAUGCCGCCGUGUCGUUUUUUCAACCGUAACAGAAGAGGAUGUCUUUUGCCGCAUUUGUGACGGACUGCGGCUCCACGGCGGCGGGCACGACCGGUCCCUGUUGCACCGGAGCCGGGCCAACGGCAAGAACGCUGACGUCAGCGGGCCCCGGCGCGUGGACGACCCGGCGGAACAUCGAGACGCCAUCCGGUGCUUCGGCGCUCGGCUGGCCCGCGACCCUGUGUUUUCUGCCGCCGCCCUGGAAGCAGCCGGACUGCAAGGGGUAGCUGCUUCGGCCUUGGCGACUGUGCCACCGAGACCGCCAACGCCGCCCACCGAAGGCCAGGCCGGGCCCAGCAGACUAUAGGACCUGAUCGACGGGGACAUUGACCUCAACCCGCUGUGACCUGUAGACCGCUGGGCAGGGACGACGACAUCGAGCCCCUUUGGGCUCAGAAUAAACAUCAUGAACACAACCCUCUGUCGCCGUCGUCCACCAGCUAGGAGACACAAAGCCUCCUUUGCUCU